AUUGAACGCUGGCGGCAUGCUUUACACAUGCAAGUCGAACGGCAGCACGGGCUUCGGCCUGGUGGCGAGUGGCGAACGGGUGAGUAAUAUAUCGGAACGUACCCAGAAGUGGGGGAUAACGUAGCGAAAGUUACGCUAAUACCGCAUACGAUCUAUGGAUGAAAGCAGGGGACCGCAAGGCCUUGUGCUCCUGGAGCGGCCGAUAUCUGAUUAGCUAGUUGGUGAGGUAAAGGCUCACCAAGGCGACGAUCAGUAGCUGGUCUGAGAGGACGACCAGCCACACUGGAGCUGAGACACGGUCCAGACUCCUACGGGAGGCAGCAGUGGGGAAUUUUGGACAAUGGGCGCAAGCCUGAUCCAGCAAUGCCGCGUGAGUGAAGAAGGCCUUCGGGUUGUAAAGCUCUUUUGUCAGGGAAGAAACGGUAGAGGCUAAUAUCCUGUGCUAAUGACGGUACCUGAAGAAUAAGCACCGGCUAACUACGUG
rnacentral:rRNA from 1 species